ACAAACGAUUUAAAACUGUGGCUUAGCCAUUUUUAAUAAAUAUGCUCUCUUGUAUUAAGGAUAAAAACUUAACUUGUAUAAGAUAUAAUAUGUGAUAUAAUUUUACCAUAUUAAUUAAAAAUUUUAAAAAUCAUAAAAUAGCAAAUUAUAAAUAGUUGCAUGAAUCGUUCAUGUUUUUUAAUUUUUUAUCCGUUUGUUUGCUUAUUUGUUUGUUUAUAUAUAUUUUUUUUUUUUUUUUUAAUAUAAAAUGAUAACUUGUUCAUAUAAAUUUUUAUUAAGUAAUAAAAAAAAAAUAAAUAAAUAAAAAAAAUGCAUUGAUGUGAUAUCCGCCUUGUCCUUAUUUAUGCAAUAACGAAUACAAGAAAAACUAAUUUGUUAGCUAUAUUUUUACAGCACAUUUUUACAGCACAAAUUUACAAAAAUGAAAGCAUAAAAAUAAGCAAAAAAAGGACAGAAAUAUAAAAAUAUAGAAAUAAAAUAUGUUCAUACAAGUGUAAACCAAUUGGGACCAUAUAGCCAAACACAAAAAUUAGCAUUAAUUUGUACAUGUAUAUAAAUAUGUAAAUUUAUUUGUCAAUUUAAAACGUAAAACAUUUUACUAAAUUUUAUUUUAAAAAUAUAUAAUAUUUUAUUUAUAUUAAUUGUAAGUAUUAAUUAAGGGUUAAAAACAAAAAUAAAAAGUAAGACCUUAAAAGGAAAGGUUUUAAAAAGUGAGGUUUUAAAAAGUAAGGCUUUAAAAAGUGUCCUUUUUAGUUUAACGAAAACGAACGAGAAAACAAAGGAUUAACAGUUAAAAAGAAAAGAGAAUAUCUGGUUAAAAAGGUUUGUAACAUGUUUUUUACAAAUGUAAAAUUUUUGAGCAAAUCAGUGAAAAAUAAAAUUUCAAAGAGAAAGGGGUGGGUAAAAAGAAAUAAGCAAUGGGCAUUACCCAAAGUUGAAAAGUCUUAUUUAAAGCAAGAACAAGACUUUAUUGCUCCACUAAAAAGUAUACCACUCAAUGAUAAAAACAUAACUUCUUCCCAAAAUAAUAAAUACAACGAAAAAAGUAACAAUAAUGACAAUAAUAAAAACGAAAACUUUCAAAUAAAAAAGGAUUAUAGUACAAUAUGGGAAGAAUUAAAAAAAAAAGAAAAAGACAGACUAAAACCACAUGAAUAUAAAAAAUUAGUCAAAAAAAAUAAAACUAUAUUAUGUGCUAAUGAUGACAAAUUAAGUUUAAAAAAAUUACUAUUACAAAAAGGACAGAAACAAAUGAAUAUAAAUAUUGCAGAAAUUAAAGAUGAAGAUAAAGAAAAAAAAAAAAAAGAAAUGAACACUUUUUGGUAUAUGCCAAACCCUUUUGAAAAAAAAGGAAUAUAUGGAAUGAAAGAAAAUAAUUUUUAUAAAACUUUUAUAAAAGAUAGAGAAAGACAAUUUGAUAAGAUAGAUCCAAAAAAAUUGAAUGAAAAUGAAAAAAAAUUAUUAAACGAAAUGUAUAAAAAGAAUACAAAUAAUAACAGUAGUAGUAUAAGUAAUAAAUUAUUGGAAAAAGUUACACCAUUAGAAGAAAUAGAAAAAGUAAAUAAAAAAAAAAAUAUACGAAUUAAUCCUGAAAAAUAUUGGUAUUCUAUUGAUUAUAAAACACCUGAAGAUAUAUCCACUAUAUGUUCAUUAAAGUCAAGAGAUUUAAGAUUUAUUAUGAUGAAUGAAGCAAAAUUAGUUAGAAAAGGAAAAAAUGUAGAUAUAGAAUUAUGGCUAGCUUUUAUGAACCGAGUCAUACAAUUAUCUUCAAAAGUUCAUAUACGAAGUUUAUUAAGAUAUUUACAAACAAUUGCAUCUGUUAAAUUUAAUAAUAAAAAAUUAAUAAAUGAUUUUAUUUGUACAAUUUUUAAAAGAGAAAACUAUAUGAAACCAAAGUAUUUUGUUUAUUUAUUCCAAAGUUGUGCAAGAUUAAAAUGGAAUGAUUAUAAAUUAAUAUAUGCAUUAAAAAAUAUGACAUUAUGUUGGUCUAUUUUAAGAAAUAAUUUUUUAAUAAAAUCUGCUAAUGCAAUUGCUAAAUUAGGAUUAGCAAGUAAUGUAUAUAGUAAAGCUUUACAAAUAACAUUAGAAGAAAGAUUAAUGAAUAAUUUUACAGGCAAAAAUUUAAAAACAAUUAAAUUUAUUACAUUUUUAGAAUUUUUUAAUGAACAAAUGAUUAUAAAAUUUGUUUCCCUUUCUACUUUUUAUAAACAACAUUUUAAUUAUUAUACAAGACAUUUACAAAUCUUAUAUUUAUAUAUUGUAUUAUUUCAUCCAUCUAUAUAUGCAAAACUAACAGAAGAACAGCGCCAUUUUUUAGAACGCUAUUCAAAAGAAAGUAAUUUAAAAAAAAUUAUUAAAAUGGAACAAAAAAAUGAUUUGCGUAGGUUGAGCAGGAUAGAAAAAAAUGAAGGCAAGCGAUCGCGAGUUAGUACUGGUGGUAUUAGUAGUGGCGGUUUUAAAAGUGGUGGUUUUAGUAGCAAUGAAAGUUCCGAAAGUUGUAGUGAUGAUGAAAGUGAUAGUGACAGUGAUAGUGACAGUGAUAGUGACAGUGAUAGUGACAGUGAUGAUGAUAAGUAUAAUACUAGUAACAACACGGAAGUACAACUAGGUAACAAAGUAUGUGGCGGUUAUACAUGUAUGUUACAUAAAGAAGUUAGUGACAUAUUAAAAAAAUUAAAAAUAGAGCAUUUAAAUUCAAUUAAAUGUGGCCCAUUUAUAGUAGAUAUAUAUCACCCUAAAUCCAACUAUAUAAUCGAAUUAAAUGCAAAUUUUCAAUAUUAUUUGAAUACAGAAAAUUUAACAACUAUGUCAAAAUGGAGACAUAAGUUUUUUAUGCACAUGGGAUAUAAGGUAAUAUUUAUAUCGCAUAAAAUAUGGAUAAGCUUAUCAAAUGAUAAUCAAAAAAUGGAUUAUAUAUGUUCUAUUUUACCGAAUGUUAUAUUAUCGGGUCCUCCGGUUUCUUUACAGUUGUGUAAGACGUAAAAAGGGGCUUAUAUAUGUACCUAUUUAUUUAUUCAUUUAUUUGUUUAUUUAUUUAUUUAUUUAUUUAUUUAUUUAUUUGUUUAUUUAUUUAUUUAUUUAUUUGUUUAUUUAUUUAUUUAUUUGUUUAUUUAUUUAUUUAUUUAUUUAUUUAUUUGUUUAUUUAUUUAUUUAUUUAUUUGUUUAUUUAUUU
rnacentral:lncRNA from 1 species